UACGUAGGGUGCAAGCGUUGUCCGGAAUUAUUGGGCGUAAAGAGCUCGUAGGCGGUCUGUCGCGUCGGAUGUGAAAAUCCAGGGCUCAACCCUGGACCUGCAUUCGAUACGGGCAGACUAGAGUUCGGUAGGGGAGACUGGAAUUCCUGGUGUAGCGGUGAAAUGCGCAGAUAUCAGGAGGAACACCGGUGGCGAAGGCGGGUCUCUGGGCCGAAACUGGACGCUGAGGAGCGAAAGCGUGGGGAGCAAACAGG
rnacentral:rRNA from 1 species